AAUGAACGCUGGCGGCGCGCCUAAUACAUGCAAGUCGAGCGAGAAGACGUAGCAAUACGUUUGUAAAGCGGCGAACGGGUGAGGAAUACAUGGGUAACCUACCCUCGAGUGGGGAAUAACUAGCCGAAAGGUUAGCUAAUACCGCGUACGCUUCUUGGACUUCGGUUCAGGGAGGAAAGCGAUGCCGAGGGUAUCGCGCUCUUGGAUGGGCUCAUGUCCUAUCAGCUUGNGGUGAGGUAACGGCUCACCAAGGCUUCGACGGGUAGCUGGUCUGAGAGGACGAUCAGCCACACUGGCACUGCGACACGGGCCAGACUCCUACGGGAGCAGCAGUAAGGAAUAUUGCGCAAUGGGCGAAAGCCUGACGCAGCGACGCCGCGG
rnacentral:rRNA from 1 species